GGGGGGAGGCCGGAUCCUGGGCUGUGUCCCUGGCGCCCUGUGCUCCCGGGCCUGCGCUGUUUGAUUUGCGCUCCCGACGGGGCACCCCCUC
rnacentral:pre_miRNA from 1 species